CGGCCUACCAAGGCGACGAUACGUAGCCGACCUGAGAGGGUGAUCGGCCACACUGGAACUGAGACACGGUCCAGACUCCUACGGGAGGCAGCAGUAGGGAAUCUUCCGCAAUGGGCGAAAGCCUGACGGAGCAACGCCGCGUGAGUGAUGAAGGUCUUCGGAUCGUAAAGCUCUGUUGUUAGGGAAGAACAAAUGUGUAAGUAACUGUGCACAUCUUGACGGUACCUAACCAGAAAGCCACGGCUAACUACGUGCCAGCAGCCGCGGUAAUACGUAGGUGGCAAGCGUUAUCCGGAAUUAUUGGGCGUAAAGCGCGCGUAGGCGGUUUUUUAAGUCUGAUGUGAAAGCCCACGGCUCAACCGUGGAGGGUCAUUGGAAACUGGAAAACUUGAGUGCAGAAGAGGAAAGUGGAAUUCCAUGUGUAGCGGUGAAAUGCGCAGAGAUAUGGAGGAACACCAGUGGCGAAGGCGGCUUUCUGGUCUGCAACUGACGCUGAUGUGCGAAAGCGUGGGGAUCAAACAGGAUUAGAUACCCUGGUAGUCCACGCCGUAAACGAUGAGUGCUAAGUGUUAGGGGGUUUCCGCCCCUUAGUGCUGCAGCUAACGCAUUAAGCACUCCGCCUGGGGAGUACGGUCGCAAGACUGAAACUCAAAGGAAUUGACGGGGACCCGCACAAGCGGUGGAGCAUGUGGUUUAAUUCGAAGCAACGCGAAGAACCUUACCAAAUCUUGACAUCCUUUGACCGCUCUAGAGAUAGAGUUUUCCUCUUCGGAGGACAAAGUGACAGGUGGUGCAUGGUUGUCGUCAGCUCGUGUCGUGAGAUGUUGGGUUAAGUCCCGCAACGAGCGCAACCCUUGAACUUAGUUGCCAUCAUUCAGUUGGGCACUCUAAGUUGACUGCCGGUGACAAACCGGAGGAAGGUGGGGAUGACGUCAAAUCAUCAUGCCCCUUAUGAUUUGGGCUACACACGUGCUACAAUGGACAAUACAAAGGGCAGCGAAACCGCGAGGUCAAGCAAAUCCCAUAAAGUUGUUCUCAGUUCGGAUUGUAGUCUGCAACUCGACUACAUGAAGCUGGAAUCGCUAGUAAUCGUAGAUCAGCAUGCUACGGUGAAUACGUUCCCGGGUCUUGUACACACCGCCCGUCACACCACGAGAGUUUGUAACACCCGAAGCCGGUGGAGUAACCAUUUUGGAGCUAGCCGUCGAAGGUGGGACAAAUGAUUGGGGUGAAGUCGUAACAAGGUAGCCGUAUCGGAAGGUGCGGCUGGAUCACCUCCUUU
rnacentral:rRNA from 1 species